rnacentral:rRNA from 1 species
UACGUAGGCAGCAAGCGUUGUUCGGAAUUAGUCGUGGGCGUAAAGAGCGUGUAGGCGGCUCGAUAAAGUCCGUGCCGUCGUGAAAGAUCCAGGGCUCAACCCCUGGGAAGGCCGGGUGGAAAGCUGUCGGGGCUAGAGUCCGGAAGAGGCGAGUGGAAUUCCUGGUGUAGCGGUGAAAUGCGCAGACUAUCAGGAAGAACACCUAUGGGCCGAAGGCAGCUCUCUGGGACGGUACUGGACGCUGAGACGCGAAAGCGUGGGGAGCGAACAGG